AUAACCCACCGAUCUAUAUUUCUUCCUAAAAAGAUAUCAAGCUAUGAUUGCCAGUGAUUUGAAGAUAAAGAGUUGAUUUUUACAGCGUAUCUACUGAAUCCAUUAAACUGAUGCGGAAUCAACAUUUAGCUGAUACUCACCAAGUGCAAGACAUGGUCCUCCAAUGCCUUGGUUAGACACUUCGUUGUAUUUUGAUGGACAUGCAUGAAACAGUUCAAACAGUGUUUCUGUAGCUGUUACGACCAAGAAUGGCAUUGCAUCAAGUAACAGAUGUGGGAUGGAAAACACAAGGAGGGAAACAAAGCCGGUAGAAACUUUGACUUUUCUUGACAAAGUGCAUCCCCAUGUGUUUGUGGGAACUGACCACCUUCCCAAUCGUGGCAAUGUGACGGUCGAAGUGUUGAAGAAAUACUCUUCCCAAAGCUGCUAAUUAUUGUUAUAUGUUUUUAAUCACAACAUUGCUGGUUCUACCUUCACAUUCCAAGUUUCCAACUCAGUUUCAUACAUGAAUUGAUAUGACAUAAUGCGAAAAUUUUUAUGGUUGUAGAUAAAAAAAUCUCUGCAGUCAAACAUAUCACUGGAUGAGAUACAAGCUAAAGAUGUUAAGCUAAGAAAGCAGGUUGAUGAAAGGACUACUCUGAUCACUUUUUUAUUUAUUUAUUUUAUCUUGAUAUAGUUAGACUAUUCAUAAUCUGUUACAUUAAUAGUUGUUGCUUGAUUUAUACUGGAUCUAAGUCUCCUUGCCUUCUAUAGGAGUGAUACUUAUGAAUAA